rnacentral:rRNA from 1 species
ACUCCUACGGGAGGCAGCAGUGGGGAAUAUUGCACAAUGGGCGCAAGCCUGAUGCAGCAACGCCGCGUGAGGGAUGAAGGCCUUCGGGUUGUAAACCUCUUUUAGCAGGGAAGAAGCGAAAGUGACGGUACCUGCAGAAAAAGCACCGGCUAACUACGUGCCAGCAGCCGCGGUAAUACGUAGGGUGCAAGCGUUGUCCGGAAUUAUUGGGCGUAAAGGGAGCGUAGGUGGUAUGAUAAGUCAGAUGUGAAAGCCCAGGGCUUAACCCUGGGACUGCAUUUGAAACUGUCAAACUAGAGUGCAGGAGAGGUAAGUGGAAUUCCUAGUGUAGCGGUGAAAUGCGUAGAUAUUAGGAGGAACACCAGUGGCGAAGGCGACUUACUGGACUGUAACUGACACUGAGGCUCGAAAGCGUGGGGAGCAAACAGGAUUAGAUACCCUGGUAGGUC